GACGAACGCUGGCGGCGUGCUUAACACAUGCAAGUCGAGCGGAGCUGCGAACGGGUGAGUAACUCGUGAGUAACUGCCCCCCUCUCUGGGAUAACAGUUGAAAACGGCUGCUAAUACCGGAUAGUUGGGGAUGACUCGCGUCCAAUCAGCUUGUUGGUGGGGUAGUGGCCUACCAAGGCGACGACGGGUAGCCGGCCUGAGAGGGCGACCGGCCUCAAUGGGCUGCGAUACGGACCAAACUCCAACGGGAGGCAUCAGGGGGGAAUAUUGCACAAUGGGGGAAACCCUGAUGCAGAAACGCCGCGUGCGGGAUGACGGCCUUCGGGGUGUAAACCGCUUUCAGCCAUGACGCGGUAGUGGCAGAAGAAGCACCGGCUAACUACGUGCCAGCAGCCGCGGUAAUUC
rnacentral:rRNA from 1 species